ensembl:lncRNA
GGGGGGGCUGAUGGAGUGUGUGUGUGUGUGUGUUUGUGUCUCUGGGUCAGAGUGUGUGUCUGUGUCUGUAUGUGUUUGAGGUGUCUGGUCCGAGUAUGUGUGUGUGUGUGCUUGUAUUUCCCGGUUGGAGUGUGUGUGUGUGUUAGUGUGAGUUAGAGUCCUGCUCUCUCUGCAGCCUGGGCCAUUGGCGCCCCCUGCAGGUCCAGCUCUGGUACUGUCACAGCCGUCCUGCUCAGCUGCAAACCCUCCUUCUGACGCUGUGCUGACAGCACUGGUGUGUGGGGUACAGAUAGCAUUAGCACUGCUGCUAGCUAUAGAGGUGCUGUUAGCUCCAGCACUGGUGUGUGGGGUACAGAUAGCAUUAGCACUGCUGCUAGCUAUAGAGGUGCUGUUAGCUCCAGCACUGGUGUGUGGGGUACAGAUAGCAUUAGCACUGCUGCUAGCUAUAGAGGUGCUGUUAGCUCCAGCACUGGUGUGUGGGGUACAGAUAGCAUUAGCACUGCUGCUAGCUAUAGAGGUGCUGUUAGCUCCAGCACUGGUGUGUGGGGUACAGAUAGCAUUAGCACUGCUGUUAGCUAUAGAGGUGCUGUUAGCUAUAUAGCUGCUGUUAGCUCCAGCACCGGGGCCAGUGCUAGAGGUAGGGGUAGGGUUAGAGGUAGGAGUAGCCUUGGCAUUAAAGGUUAGUUUAACAUUAAUGUGUUGUGCUGUGGAAAGGUUAGGGUGUGGGUUAGAGGUAGGACUACCGUUAGCAUUAUAGGGUAGAUAAGCAUCAAUGUUUGUGCUAAGGUUGGGUUUGGAGCUAGGGCUAGCUUUUGCGCUAGUUGGGUAAAUGUCGGCAUUAAGGUUGGGGUUGGGGAUAGAGGUAGGGCUAGCCGUGGCGUUACAGGUAGCGACAGGUUUAAUGAUGGCGUUAAGGUUGGCGUUGGGGAUAGCCUUGGCGUUACAGGUAGCGACAGGUUUAAUGAUGGCGUUAAGGUUGGGGUUUGGGGCAGAGGUAGGGCGCUGGCCUUGAGCCGCGGCGCUAGCUACAGCGCUAGCUACAGCGCUAGCUACAGCGCUAGCUACAGCGCUAGCUGCACAGUGCUCGUACAUGGACUUCUUCUUAGGCACUCUGGCUUUGAAGGUGGCCGUCUUUCGACUGGAAUGGCUGCUGCUAGAGCUGUGAUUGGCUGAUGUGAUACUAGCGCUGAUAUUAUUAGUGGAUGUACUUUUGGGUACAGUAUGAUGAGUUGAGGUGGUGACAGAUCCACUGUGAUUGGAUGAUAUGAUGUUAGCUCCACUGUGACUGGCUGAGGAGCUAUUAGCUCCACUGUGAUUGGAUGAUAUGAUGUUAGCUCCACUGUGAUUGGAUGAUAUGCUGGAGUGGAUGGCUGCUGAGGAGUUGGAGCUGUUUGUUCCAGAGUUGCAUUUGGAGCUGUUGUUGUUUAUAUUGUUCUUGGAGUCUGAGCUGUUGCUGCUGGUGGUGAUGAUGGAGAUGUUGUUCUUGUUGCUGCUGCAUUGCACAGCGGCGGCCGGAGUUCUUCUCUCCUCUGCGAUUUUUCUCUUUUCUCGUUUUCUCUUAAUCACCUUUUUAUGCCCCUCCCCAUUUGCCUCCACCACCCUGCUCCCGAUUGGCUCUGCUGGGUCGCCUCCUAGCCUGAUCUGAGCUUCCUGCUUCCUAUGGGCGGGGACAGGGGACCUGGCCUGUGGAGGCGUGUCCAUCUCCCUGAGUUUGGCUUUGCUAUCGGGCUGAGGGGUGUGGUCUGUGUGACCACGCCUCCUGCCCCCCCGGCCACGUGUGGAUGUGGGGGGGCGCCCCCCCGACCCCCCCGAGCGUCUCUGGGCCCUCAUCCCCCGUCUGCUCCUCUUCCUCUUCGAUCCUUCGUCCCUAGUGUGUGUGUGCUCAGUCUCGUUUCUCUCCCCUCCUUCCACUUUCCAUCCGCGGUCUUCCUGCUCUCUCUCUGUUUCACUCACAACACCUCAUCUAGGCCCUCCACACAGCACCUGAGAGAGG